UCUCUAAAAUGACGAGGACAAUUUAUUAAAGCGGUCAGCUGAUGAACAAUAAAGAAACAUAAGGAUCAAAUCAUUUAGUUAUUAUGUCAACAUUAGCCUUUCAGUUAUCAGUAGCAUUUCUUAAAAUCUUAAUAAAUUAAUAAUUAGUGAUAAAAUAGCCUUCUCAUUUUUACAAAAGGAGUUUGGUAUUAGAUUUCCUAAAAAUCCAGCGCUUCUAAAGCGAUGGAUAGUAAACUGCCGUUGGCAAGAUUGGAAACAAACCAAAUGGUCAAGGGUAUGUUUUAAGCACUUCAACGACUCUGACAUCAUCAAGCACAAAGUUAAAGGCACUCUUGUUAGUUGUUGAUUGAGCAGUGCCCCCCAUUAUUGACUUUCCAAUACACUUUAAAAAAGUGGAGUCCCAUUGACGAAUCUUAAAGCGAAGAACUUAUGAAGAAGACAGUACUAAAAAAAGGAAUUAUGAUGACAUGGAAAAAAGGCCAACUGUAAAUAUAGUCAUUACUCAUACAUAUGCCCUACCUAGUACUAUGGAAUCCUUGGUGGCGGUGGAAAAAUAGAGUAAAAAAAGACAUCCUGAAAUCAAGAUAGGAGUUAUCUUUGAUAGUUGCCAUAUCUUAUUCAGUUUAAGAAUCAAUAAUUUGAAAAAUAUCAAUGAUAUGUUGAAAAACUUAAUAUUAUUAGUAUUUAAUAUUUUGUCGAAUAAAUGAUACUUCAUUUA
rnacentral:lncRNA from 1 species